rnacentral:rRNA from 1 species
AACGAACGCUGGCGGCAGGCCUAACACAUGCAAGUCGAGCGCGUGCAGCAAUGCACGAGCGGCGCACGGGUGAGUAACGCGUGGGAAUCUGCCCUAUGGUGGGGGACAACCUCGGGAAACUGAGGCUAAUACCGCAUACGUCCUUCGGGAGAAAGACUUCGGUCGCCAUAGGAGGAGCCCGCGUCCGAUUAGCUAGUUGGUGAGGUAACGGCUCACCAAGGCGACGAUCGGUAGCUGGUCUGAGAGGACGGCCAGCCACACUGGGACUGAGACACGGCCCAGACUCCUACGGGAGGCAGCAGUGGGGAAUAUUGGACAAUGGGGGAAACCCUGAUCCAGCCAUGCCGCGUGAGUGAUGAAGGCCUUCGGGUUGUAAAGCUCUUUUGGCGGGGACGAUGAUGACGGUACCCGCAGAAUAAGCCCCGGCUAACUUCGUGCCAGCCGCCGCCGUAAGAC